GAACGCGAAGAACCUUACCUACUCUUGACAUCCUAAGAAGAGCUCAGAGAUGAGCUUGUGCCUUCGGGAACUUAGAGACAGGUGCUGCAUGGCUGUCGUCAGCUCGUGUUGUGAAAUGUUGGGUUAAGUCCCGCAACGAGCGCAACCCUUAUCCUUUGUUGCCAGCGACUUGGUCGGGAACUCAAAGGAGACUGCCAGUGAUAAACUGGAGGAAGGUGGGGAUGACGUCAAGUCAUCAGGGCCCUUACGAGUAGGGCUACACACGUGCUACAAUGGCGUAUACAGAGGGAAGCGAAGCUGCGAGGUGGAGCGAAUCUCAUAAAGUACGUCUAAGUCCGGAUUGGAGUCUGCAACUCGACUCCAUGAAGUCGGAAUCGCUAGUAAUCGCGAAUCAGAAUGUCGCGGUGAAUACGUUCCCGGGUCUUGUACACACC
rnacentral:rRNA from 1 species